GGGAAUAUGGCUUAGUGGUAGAGUACUUGCCUCACAUGCAUGAAGCCCUGGGUUUAAUUCCUAGGUAUCACA
rnacentral:tRNA from 1 species